rnacentral:lncRNA from 1 species
GCAAUCAAGAAUCUUUAAUUUGUUACUCUGUUUUCUCAGAUAUUCUUUUUAAACUAUUCCUUUGAACUCAUAAGGAGCUAUUACUUCUCUCAGCCAUUAGCCUUUUCACACUUUUGCUCUUUCUGACCACUGUGUGCCAGAGAUUGCAAAUUCUUUGAGGUCAGGCUUUGUAUUGUUUACCUUUGCAUGUGACUAGCACAUACACUUGCACAUUACAAGAACCCCAACAAUAUAUUAUAAGUAGAACCAAUUGGAAAAUUCAAAUGAUAAGCAGAUAAUUGCAAAAAUGUGUUUGCAAAAUUAUAGUUGGAAAUUGGAACACUUGAAAAUUUUUUUUUAAUUUUUUUUUUUAUUUUAAUAGUGAGCCACAUAUUGGAGAUGAUUUAAGGCUUGCAGACCGACCAUGACUGCCAAUUGACCCACACUGUAGCUGAAAUAAUACUACCAGAAAAAAAUUCUACCACUGAGUCCCAAUGACACUUCAAUCCCCCUAUUUGAUGUUAGACUCGCUUGCCUCUAAGGCAUGAUCUUUUUGAUGUGUGGGGAUAUAGAGUGUUGCUUGGGUUGUCAAUUAAUUAAAAAGCCAUUUCCUCAGCCAUACUAAACAUAUUUCCAGUACUUAAUAGUCCCAUGAAGAUGACACCUACAAAAUUGGAUAGCAGAUAUUUUCAUCUCAGAAUGUCUUAUUGGACAGCACUAGUCCAAACAAUUGAUGGAGAAGAUCAUUUGGGUGUAGAGAGGCAGGUUGUAAUUUAUAACUCAUUAUCAGGGAGGGUGAGUAUAGGGCUGUCACGAUAUCAGAAAUGCCUUGGCAAUUCUCAGCUGUUUGAUGCAUUAACACACUUCUUCCACCUGGAAAUGGAAUUCCA